GACGAACGCUGGCGGCGUGCCUAAUACAUGCAAGUAGAACGCUGAAGGAGGAGCUUGCUUCUCCGGAUGAGUUGCGAACGGGUGAGUAACGCGUAGGUAACCUGCCUGGUAGCGGGGGAUAACUAUUGGAAACGAUAGCUAAUACCGCAUAAGAGUAGAUGUCGCAUGACAUUUGCUUAAAAGGUGCAACUGCACCACUACCAGAUGGACCUGCGGUGUAUUAGCUAGUUGGUGGGGUAGCGGAUCACCAAGGCAACGAUACGUAGCCGACCUGAGAGGGGGACGGGCCAGAGUGGGAAUGUGGGACGGCACGGACUGUGACGGGAGGCAGCAGUGGGGAAUAUGGCGCAAUGGGCGGAAGGCUGAGGCAGCAACGACGCGUGCGGGAAGAGGGCCUUCGGGUUGUAAACCGUUGGAGCCUGUGACGAAGCGUGAGUGACGGUAAUGGGUAAAGAGGCACCGGCUAACUACGUG
rnacentral:rRNA from 1 species